GUUUAAAUAGUUUAAUAAAAAAUUUAGGUUUGUGGUACCUAAGAUGUAGAUUUCUAUUUUAGACA
rnacentral:tRNA from 1 species